rnacentral:lncRNA from 1 species
CAUCUCAAGGUGAAAUAUUAACUAAAUCCUAAUUAUAUGUAUUAGGAUUAGUCAGAUUUGAUUUAAAUUAAACUCCAAGUGUAUGUAUUAGAAUCCAACAAAUUAAUUUGAUCAGAUGGUUUGAUCAAUUCUAAAUAUAGGUUUAGAAUUUGAUCAAGUUUGAACAUGAUUGUGAUUUGACUCUAGUUUUAUAUGCUAGAGAAUCGAAUAUUUUGGGAAUUGGGAUGUUCGUGAAAAUUGAACUUGAGUUUAGUUUAACGACGUUUCGGUCGAUAUCGAAUUUAGGUUUAGUUUAACGACGUUUCGGUCGAUAUCGAAUUUAGGUUUAGUUUAACGACAUUUCGGUCGAUAUCGAAUUUAGGUUUAGUUUAACGACGUUUCGAUCGAUAUCGAAUUUAGGUUUAGUUUAACGACGUUUCGGUUGAUAUCGAAUUUAGGUUUAGUUUAACGACGUUUCGGUCGAAUGUUUGGUUCACAAGGUUUAUGGUAUUGGGUAUAUGGGAUUAUGGUUCAUGAACUUGGUGUAUGGUUUGUGGUUUAUGAUUCAUGGCUCAUGAACUUGAUUCAUAGUUCAUGGAUUUGGUGUAUGA